GAGUGAUAAAAUCCGUCGUCAAGAGGGAAACAACCCAGACUACCAGCUAAGGUCCCUAAAUCUUACUUAAGUGGAAAACGAUGUGAAGUUACUUAAACAACCAGGAGGUUGGCUUAGAAGCAGCCAUCCUUUAAAGAAAGCGUAAUAGCUCACUGGUCUAGUGAUUUUGCGCGGAAAAUAUAACGGGGCUAAAGUAAGUACCGAAGCUGUAGACUUAGUUUACUAAGUGGUAGGAGAGCGUUCUAUUUGCGUCGAAGGUAUACCGGUAAGGAGUGCUGGAGCGAAUAGAAGUGAGCAUGCAGGCAUGAGUAGCGAUAAUUAAUGUGAGAAUCAUUAACGCCGUAAACCCAAGGUUUCCUACGCGAUGCUCGUCAUCGUAGGGUUAGUCGGGUCCUAAGUCGAGUCCGAAAGGGGUAGACGAUGGCAAAUUGGUUAAUAUUCCAAUACCAACAUUAGUGUGCGAUGGAAGGACGCUUAGGGCUAAGGGGGCUAGCGGAUGGAAGUGCUAGUCUAAGGUCGUAGGAGGUUAUACAGGCAAAUCCGUAUAACAAUACUCCGAGAACUGAAAGGCUUUUUGAAGUCUUCGGAUGGAUAGAAGAACCCCUGAUGCCGUCGAGCCAAGAAAAGUUUCUAAGUUUAGCUAAUGUUGCCCGUACCGUAAACCGACACAGGUGGGUGGGAUGAGUAUUCUAAGGCGCGUGGAAGAACUCUCUUUAAGGAACUCUGCAAAAUAGCACCGUAUCUUCGGUAUAAGGUGUGGUUAGCUUUGUAUUAGGAUUUACUCCGAAAGCAAGGAAACUUACAACAAAGAGUCCCUCCCGACUGUUUACCAAAAACACAGCACUCUGCUAACUCGUAAGAGGAUGUAUAGGGUGUGACGCCUGCCCGGUGCUCGAAGGUUAAUUGAUGGGGUUAGCAUUAGCGAAGCUCUUGAUCGAAGCCCGAGUAAACGGCGGCCGUAACUAUAACGGUCCUAAGGUAGCGAAAUUCCUUGUCGGUUAAAUACCGACCUGCAUGAAUGGCGUAACGAGAUGGGAGCUGUCUCAAAGAGGGAUCCAGUGAAAUUGUAGUGGAGGUGAAAAUUCCUCCUACCCGCGGCAAGACGGAAAGACCCCGUGGACCUUUACUACAGCUUGACACUGCUACUUGGAUAAGAAUGUGCAGGAUAGGUGGGAGGCUUUGAGUAUAUGACGCCAGUUGUAUAUGAGCCAUUGUUGAGAUACCACUCUUUCUUAUUUGGGUAGCUAACCAGCUUGAGUUAUCCUCAAGUGGGACAAUGUCUGGUGGGUAGUUUGACUGGGGCGGUCGCCUCCCAAAUAAUAACGGAGGCUUACAAAGGUUGGCUCAGAACGGUUGGAAAUCGUUCGUAGAGUAUAAAGGUAUAAGCCAGCUUAACUGCAAGACAUACAAGUCAAGCAGAGACGAAAGUCGGUCUUAGUGAUCCGGUGGUUCUGUGUGGAAGGGCCAUCGCUCAAAGGAUAAAAGGUACCCCGGGGAUAACAGGCUGAUCUCCCCCAAGAGCUCACAUCGACGGGGAGGUUUGGCACCUCGAUGUCGGCUCAUCGCAUCCUGGGGCUGGAGCAGGUCCCAAGGGUAUGGCUGUUCGCCAUUUAAAGCGGUACGCGAGCUGGGUUCAGAACGUCGUGAGACAGUUCGGUCCCUAUCUGCCGUGGGCGUAAGAAGAUUGAAGAGAUUUGACCCUAGUACGAGAGGACCGGGUUGAACAAACCACUGGUGUAGCUGUUGUUCUGCCAAGAGCAUCGCAGCGUAGCUAAGUUUGGAAAGGAUAAACGCUGAAAGCAUCUAAGCGUGAAGCCAACUCUAAGAUGAAUCUUCUCUAAGCUCUCUAGAAGACUACUAGUUUGAUAGGCUGGGUGUGUAAUGGAUGAAAGUCCUUUAGCUGACCAGUACUAAUAGAGCGUUUGGCUUAUCUUUAAUAAAGCAU
rnacentral:rRNA from 1 species